UCAGCUCCGGAUGCCUUCCAGCCUCUCUGUGAUGUGACACGUCCCUCUUUGACUCAGCCUGAAACUGCUGAGGCCAGCUUGGAAUUUCCUCCUGCGGGGUUAGCUCUAUAAAAAGAAAAGUUGCACCAAACAGCUGGAGAGGGCGAGAGAGAGGAGACAGCAGCGCUUCAGCCUGAGAGCUUUGUUGCUUCCCGCCAGGGUAACACAAUGGUUCCUCGUUUUCCUUCUUAUCAAUGCCUUGACGAUCUUUUCUACCGUUCUGUUCCACCAAUCACUAGGGGGUGCACUAUCCUAAUGAAAAGCAUGAACCUCGGAUAUUUCAUUCUGGGGAUCUGCUUCCAUGGGUAGAGCCCACCUUACAGCUGUGAGACUUAAGACCCCUGGGAAACAAACAAAGGAUCCACUGACCCAUCUCCCUUCUCCUGCUCUCGCUGCUCCUCCCUGUGUAUGUGUUUCUGACAUUGGACUGGGGAGAAAGAAGAGGUUAGACUAUCCUUGCCCCUAGCAGAGUGCUUGGGCAGUGGGUAGGCCAGUUCCAAGAGGCAUUAGCUUUGCCCCAUCAAUCCCUGCAGUCAGAGCAAGAGACUGCACCUUACAACCAGCAGCGACUCCAGACUUCUACACAUUCUGUAAGAAACGGGAACUGCGAGGGGCUCGCUCAGAGGCUCCCUCCUGUGACCAAAUCCAGCAGUUCCGCUCGCUCUUCCACUGCAGAAAUGCCUCAACUUUAACAGCAAAGAGAACUCGGGGGGGGGGGGGUCCUUUCUGGAGCAUGGUUUUCUCCAUUCUACGUUUCAGUGUGCUCCAGAUCCUGGGAGGAGUUCAAGGAUGGCCCUAGCAGGGCUCUUUAGAAAGUGUUAUGAAUGCAUACAGCUCUGCCAUAGCACACGCCCGGCAAGCAGCAGGGAGAAGGGAAGGUCAGUGGUGCAGGAUCAUCGUCAUCGGCCGUCUAUCUGAUCUCCAGCUGGAGUGGGACAUUGUGCACGGAGCGGAAGAGGAGCUUCGGCCCGCUGCCCCUCUGCUCAGUGUUUCAUGGUUGGGAGGCGCCAAAUAACUCCCGUAAAACCACCGUCCCGGGCACGCUCUGUCUCGUGCUUCCGACGGGAUGGAUCUUUUGGCAUUUCUGUACCGUAUCUAAUGAGCUUCCUUUCCAGGCAGAAAUAAACGGUUGUGAGAUCGAAGAGAGUUUCAUGUCACUUCAAAACACCCAAGGGAGGGCUGGGAACAGAAACAGUCCUCUGACUCCAUCCCUUCCAUUCAGCUGCAGGGAACGGGGCCCUAAUCCUCACACGUAGCUCAGCUCAGAACCCCCACUGAGUUCAAUGGAGGUUAGGAGUCUAAAUACCUGGGAGGCUCGGCCCCCGUUUGCUGUUCACGAGGACAUCCUCGGAGCGCCGAGGAAGGGCAGAUGGAGGCAGAACUUGGCUGGCUCUUCCUAAAGCCCUUUCUCCUGAUUCAGAUCCUCACUCUUUGGACAGCAGCAGGUCCAGGGCAGCAUCAUAUCACCCAGGAAAUCUAGUCCCACCUUCCUUCCGAGUGACGCAGCUACGCUGGGGUUUUCUUUGCCAGGGAAUUGAAGCAUAGGUGGCCUACAACAGCCUCAGGCCCUUAUGGGGCAGAACCUUUUAAAUAUUUAAACAUGAAUCAUUUGUAUUUCUCUAGCCCCGCCCACCACAGGAUCUCAAAGCACUUUGCAGCCCCCUGGAAGGUAGGGAAGUCUCAUCAUGAGACAUACACAGAUUAGAGAGUCCUGCAGACGCCAUAUCAAAGGAGUGGCAGUCAGGAGUAGAACCUAGUCGUCUGGAUGCCCCCUCCUUUGGUCUACCCUCCAUCCUUCCUCCCCCCACUGUUCUG